CUGCAGACGCCGGAUCUCCCGGAUUAUCUAAUACCAAGACUAAAGAUGCAGUUCCAAGAUGUAGAGAAAGCAAGGGAAUUUUAUAACAGAUACGCCAGACACGUUGGUUUUCGAAUCAGGAAGGGGGGGGAUGACAACCACAAGUAUUUUGUUUGCGCAUUCCAAGGGAUACACACAUCUUCUGUUUCAGAGGCUAACAUGAAGCGAAACAAAACAUCACAGAGGAAAAGCUGCAAUGCAAGAAUGAGGGUGAAGGUGCAGGAGGAUAACACAGUGUGGGUGGACAUUGAGUACAAUCAUAAUCAUCAGCUCAUGCAAACUGAUGACAUGCUGGUAUUCUUGCACUCGCACAAGAAUUAUGACCCCACUAUUUUGGAGUACGUAAAGCUCCUGCAGUACCAUGAUGUCAAGCACACAACAAUCAUGUCCAUGCUAUCUGAAAAUGAAGAUGGAAGCUACUUCCUAAGCAUGACCGGACGAGACCUACUAAACCAAAAAGCCAUGAAUGCAAGGAAAGAUGAUUUGGAUGAUGUAUUGAAACUUGUUUCAUUCUUCAAAGACAUGAAGGCAAUCAAUGAUGAGUUUUUCUAUGACAUACAAGUAGACAAGGACAAGUCAAUUAAAAACAUUUUCUAGUCCAAUGCAAGCUGCUGAGGAGCCUAUCAAGACUUUGGCGAUUAUGUAAUAUUCGACACAACUUACAAGACCAACAGAUUUCAUAUGCCUCUGGGAGUGUUUGUUGGAACAAACCAUCACUUGCAGUCAACGAUAUUUGCUGUUGCCCUGAUCAGAGACGAAGAUGCAAAGUCAUUCAAGUGGUUGUUCGAUACAUUUGUACGGUGCAUGAACAACAAGCACCCAACUUGCAUUCUAAUAGACCAGUGCCCGUCGAUGGCGAAAGCUAUACCACAAUCAUUUCCAAACACCAUCCACAAGCUAUGCCGUUGGCACAUCAUGAAGAAGUACAGGGAAUACCUCGCGUUGCUGUACAAAAAGUAUAAAACAUUCAAAGAGGAGUUCACAGCUAUUUUAAACUGGCCGCUGAUGCCAACGGAGUUUGAAGCUGCCUGGGCUGAACUCAUGCACAAUUACAACCUGGAGAACGACCAGAUGAUGAUCCAGCUGUGGAGUGAUAGGAAAAUGUGGAUUUCGGCAUAUUACAAGAACAGUUUCUGUGCUAGAAUGACUUCAACACAACGAAGCGAGAGCAUGAACCACGUGCUCAAGAAAGGGUUUGUCAAGGGGACCCAGAACCUACACAAGUUUGCUAGGCGGAUAAAUGCUUGCAUACAAACUUGGAUGCAGAAGGAGAAUGAGCAAACGAUGACCAGCAUGGUAUGA
rnacentral:rRNA from 1 species